rnacentral:rRNA from 1 species
GAUGAACGCUGGCGGCGUGCCUAAUACAUGCAAGUCGAGCGAACAGACGAGGAGCUUGCUCCUCUGACGUUAGCGGCGGACGGGUGAGUAACACGUGGAUAACCUACCUAUAAGACUGGGAUAACUUCGGGAAACCGGAGCUAAUACCGGAUAAUAUAUUGAACCGCAUGGUUCAAUAGUGAAAGACGGUUUUGCUGUCACUUAUAGAUGGAUCCGCGCCGCAUUAGCUAGUUGGUAAGGUAACGGCUUACCAAGGCAACGAUGCGUAGCCGACCUGAGAGGGUAAUCGGCCACACUGGAACUGAGACACGGUCCAGACUCCUACGGGAGGCAGCAGUAGGGAAUCUUCCGCAAAGGGCGAAAGCCUGACGGAGCAACGCCGCGUGAGUGAUGAAGGUCUUCGGAUCGUAAAACUCUGUUAUUAGGGAAGAACAAAUGUGUAAGUAACUACGCACGUCUUGACGGUACCUAAUCAGAAAGCCACGGCUAACUACGUG